rnacentral:lncRNA from 1 species
CUCUUUUUCAUGAGCAGUUCUUUUAGAAACUUAGCAUAUGAGGGCAUUUGUUGAAGUGCCUCAGAAAAUGGUAUGGUUAUUUCCAACUUCCUAAGGAUCUCCAUGAAGCGCUCAAACUGCUUUUCCUUCUCUCUUCUUGAGUAUGUCUUUGGAUAAGGCAAAGGUUUAACAUACUCCCUUUCUCUCAAUUUUUCAACUUCUUCUUUUCUUUUAUCACCCUCAUCAUUUUUCAUAUAUUUUUCUCUCUCUCCAUCUUCCUCUUGCUCACUCUUCUUUUCAACACUCCCUUUUUCUACUCUUCUCUCCAAUACUUUCCCACUUCUAGUAAUCAUUUCACAUGCCUCCCUUUCCUCCUUUGAUCAACAUAGAACAUAUUACUCUUCACGACUUUCUGAAACAUCUCUUCAGAAUCAAUGCUCCUUUGUAUUGGCAUGAAUUGAGGCUAUUCUGAAUUUCUUGAAACAACAAUUAUCUUGUUUUGCUCCACCAUAGAACUAUAAUCCUAUGAUUCUGAAGUUUUCUGCAGAACAUCAGCAUUUUGACUCUGUGCUUCUUCAUCAUCUGCAAUACUUUCAAUCAACUCAUAAGUCUCAUCCUCGAUUUUCAUUCUGAUAUCCCCUCCGGCUGCAACAUUUAUCAUCAUCUUUGAUUGCAUCUGUAGCCCUCCAAGGAAUGCAAAAACUAUGGUUGUCUUAUCAAACCCAUGGACUGGGGUCUUCCUUAACAAGCUUUUAAACCUAUCCCAUGCUUGCCUGAGAGUCUCUAUCAUGCCCUGCUUGAAUGAUGAAAU